CCGCAAGGCCAACGGCGGCGAAGGCGUUCUGCAAGUGCGUGUUCGUCGAUCAAGAAUGAGAGUGUGGGGAGCGAAGAUGAUUAGACACCGUCGUAGUCCACCACGGUAAACCAUGCCGGCUCGGUGCCGAGAGCACAUCAUCAUACUAUGCUCCCGGCGCCUGCCAUCCCCCUUCAACGAGAAAUCCAAGCCUUUGGGUUCAGGGGGGAGUACUGUCGCAAGGCUGAAACUUAAAGGAAUUGACGGAAUGGCACCACAAGGCGUGGAGUAUGCGGCUUAAUUUGACUCAACACGGGGAACGUUACCGGGUCCGGACGAUGCCGGGAUGGACAGACCGAGAGCUCUUUCCUGAUUCCUCGGACGGUGGUGCAUGGCCGCUCCUGAUUGGUGGAGUGAUUUGUCUGGUUGAUUCCGAUAACGAGUGAGACAUCCGCCUCCCACUAGCCUGGACCUCGCAUCCGGUAGGGUCCGGCACGGGUCGCGGGCGGGGUAAGUCGGUCCCUCCCGGGUCCCGGCCCCCCGUCCGUCCCGGUUCGCCGCCCGAGAGGUCUCCAGCCAAGCUUCUCUGAGGCGCUGUGCACGCCCACUCCAAGUGCAAGCACGCUAGAGCCAACAGCAGGUCUGUGAUGCUCCCAGAUGUCCUGGGCCGCACGCGCACUACACUGGACCGGUGAAUGAGCCGAAUGUAUCUGACUGUGUCUUGAGCGCGGCCGUGCCCUGAAGGGGGUGGGAACCCUUGGAAGCCCCGUCCGUGCCUGGGGAUAGAUGCUUGCAACUGUCUGCCUUGAACGAGGAAUGCCUAGUAUGCGCGGGUCAUCAGCCCGCACAGAUUGCGUCCCUGCCAUUUGUACACACCGCCCGUCGUUGCUACCGAUGGCAGCGGGAUAGAGCCGUUAGGAGGAGCGGGCCGUCUUCGGGCGGGCCCGGGCCGAACCUUGGCGAUGUCCCGCUGCUAGAGGAAGCAAAAGUCGUAACAA
rnacentral:rRNA from 1 species